rnacentral:rRNA from 1 species
GUGACGCCCGGUCUCAUUCCGAACCCGGAAGCUAAGCUUUCCAGCGCCGAUGGUACUGCACUCGGUAGGGUGUGGGAGAGUAGGACACCGCCGUAC